GACAGAGGGUGCAAACGUUUGUUCGGAAUUACUGGGCGUAAAGCGUGUGUAGGCGGCCACGUAAGUCGGAUGUGAAAGCCCCAGGCUCAACCUGGGAAGUGCACUCGAUACUGCGUGGCUUGAGUAUCGGAGAGGUUGGUGGAAUUCUCGGUGUAGAGGUGAAAUUCGUAGAUAUCGAGAGGAACACCGGUGGCGAAGGCGGCCAACUGGACGAAUACUGACGCUGAGACACGAAAGCGUGGGGAGCGAACAGG
rnacentral:rRNA from 1 species